CCUACGGGGGGCUGCAGUGGGGAAUAUUGGACAAUGGGCGAAAGCCUGAUCCAGCCAUGCCGCGUGUGUGAAGAAGGCCUUCGGGUUGUAAAGCACUUUCAGUGGGGAAGAAAGCCUUGGGGCUAAUACCCUCGAGGAAGGACAUCACCCACAGAAGAAGCACCGGCUAACUCCGUGCCAGCAGCCGCGGUAAUACGGAGGGUGCGAGCGUUAAUCGGAAUUACUGGGCGUAAAGCGCGCGUAGGCGGUCUGAUAAGCCGGUUGUGAAAGCCCCGGGCUCAACCUGGGAACGGCAUCCGGAACUGUCAGGCUAGAGUGCAGGAGAGGAAGGUAGAAUUCCCGGUGUAGCGGUGAAAUGCGUAGAGAUCGGGAGGAAUACCAGUGGCGAAGGCGGCCUUCUGGACUGACACUGACGCUGAGGUGCGAAAGCGUGGGUAGCAAACAGGAUUAGAUACCCCAGUAGC
rnacentral:rRNA from 1 species